rnacentral:rRNA from 1 species
UACGUAGGGGGCAAGCGUUGUCCGGAAUCAUUGGGCGUAAAGAGCGUGUAGGCGGCCUGGUAAGUCCGCUGUGAAAGUCCAGGGCUCAACCCUGGAAUGCCGGUGGAAACUGUCAGGCUCGAGUCCGGAAGAGGCGAGUGGAAUUCCUGGUGUAGCGGUGAAAUGCGCAGAUAUCGGGAGGAACACCGGUGGCGAAGGCGGUUCUCUGGGCCUUACCUGACGCUGAGGAGCGAAAGCGUGGGGAGCGAACAGG